GUCCACCUUGGGAGGAGCAGAAUGCACUAACACAGUAUUUUAUCCUCAAAGCCACAUUCUGAGGCAGGCAUUAUCUCCAUCUUGUGGACGAAUAAAAUGAGGCUUGAUAAGUGAGAAGAUGGCGGUCUGUGAACCAGGAAGCAGGUCCUCGCCAGACACCGAGGCAUCUGCUUGUGCCCUGAUCUUGGACCUCCCACCCUCCAGAACUAUGACAGGGACAGACCCCACUCUUUCCUUAGCAAAGUGUGCCCUGGUGACGGCAGCCCCAUCCUUCUGGCAUCGUCUGGAAGAGCUCCCUUUUACCAAUGCUGGGGAGUCUGAAUUUGAAGCAGGUGUAUGAAUGCAUUUGAAAGAAUCUCUUCCAGAUGCCAGAAGAUUCGGUUCUGGAGAAGGACGUGAAGGAAAAUUAUGAGAACAAGUGUCCUAUUCACAUGCUAGGAAAAUAAAUGUUUUACUAAUCCUUAAAUAACAUUUUACUCUGAGGUGUAUUGGCAAAUUUUAGUUUUAUUUCGGUAUGAGAGUCUCAUAUUUGGGAGUGUGAUUUAUACACAUUUAAGCAGUAGAGGUGAUUGCUAAAAUUAGCUUCUGUCAUCCCAUGCUAAUGUCUGUAUAGGAAGAGAAUAAUAUAAUUUUAAAGUCCUGACAUUUUCGUUAUGUUUAGUGGAUAAUUUACUAUUUAUUAUCAUUGGAUACAAUGUAGUUUAAUCAUUAAAAAUGCACAUACUUUCCUAUGUUUCUCAGCCUUCUCGUGGUAGAGAAAGUAUGCCAUCAGAAAGAUGGCCUAUGUGUUCUGUUUCUCUACUCAAGGCUUAAUGAAUAAAAUUCCAUCAUUAAACAAAUAUUUGUUUAGCACCUUUUCGUGUGCCAGGCACUGUGCUAUGUGCUGGGAUACAACAGAGCUUACAGUCUGGAUUUUUGGCUAGGUGGAAAGUGGGGUGUGGUGGAUUCUCACCUGUGCAAAUCAGACUGGAUAUCUGGGGAGUGACUUAAAAGUUAGCUAUGUGUUACCUGUUCUACCCCAUUCACUUGUUUAUAGAGUAAACUCACAAGCCUCUAUAGGAAAUUUGGGAAAAUAAUACCAUC